rnacentral:rRNA from 1 species
CACGUAGGGCGCAAGCGUUUGUCCGGAAUUAUUGGGCGUAAAGAGCUCGUAGGCGGUCUGUCGCGUCUGCUGUGAAAAUCCGGGGCUCAACCCCGGACUUGCAGUGGGUACGGGCAGACUAGAGUGUGGUAGGGGAGACUGGAAUUCCUGGUGUAGCGGUGAAAUGCGCAGAUAUCAGGAGGAACACCAGCGGCGAAGGCGGCGCUCUGGGCCGGUACUGACGCUGAGGAGCGAAAGCGUGGGGAGCAAACAGG